AGGCCGUGCCUUAUUUGGAGUUUGUUAGUGUUUUUUCCAUGUUUAAUGUUGAGUUCCUGUCCUGCACACUUAUUUUGUAAUUCCACUUCCUUUUUCGAGUGUCCUGCAGCAGCUUUAUUUUGUCUCCCAGCGCACCUGUUUUGAGUUUAGUCGUACUAUUUAAGUCCAGCUGGCGCUGCGGUCUUUGUUGGGAGAUUGUUAUCUGUAUGGAUGCUGUUGAACGCUGUUCCCUUUUCUGAGGUUUCCAACACUUGUCUGAGAGCUGUCCAGCGAAGAAGGAUCCGAUCAGGAUGCCCACAAAAAAGAUGGUGGUGGUGAACGGCUUCUUCCACUGUUGGUCGCACACCAGGUCGAACUGAAAGAUGGACAUAAUCCAAGGUGAGCGUGUGCACUGGGGCAGCAUCUGUAGACCAGGCAUGGCGCCAGGGAUCGGACUCCCCAGCUUCUGGAUGGGGGAUCUGACCGGAGACUUGAGGUUCCUCAUCCUGUCGGUUGGCGACACGCCUAAAAGAGGGAAGCACCCAUCGUGAGCAUGCAGACUGACUCACCUCCGUCCUCAGCUUCCAGGAUUCCCUGAAGGUAUUUGAAGGACCCGGACUGUUUAGGCUCCGAGGACGGCUCCUCGUAGUCCGUCAGCAUCUUGUAGACGUGCGACUGCAUGUCCACGCCGUUGCGGCCCGCAGGGGACAGCUGGUGGGGCUCGGGGCUUGAUGAGACAGAAAAGGCGACACACAUCAGUUGUUUUGUAGCUUUGACGUGCAAAGUCCCAUGCUAACAGGAUUUUUGCUUGGCACUAAAAGAUGAGCUAUUAGCAUGUACAUGGACACAAAAGUAUUGGGACACAUUCCAACUACAGGAAGUUACUCUAACAGACCACUUUUGCUUUCGUUGAACUAUUGUGAUUAUUUUAUUGUGCUCGCCAUCUUUGUUCCUGUUCUUCCUCACUAGUCUCAUGCAACACUGAUGCUAAAGUGUCCGUCCGCCUCCCGCAGAUCAUUUUUUAAGGGGCCGUGGCAAAUUCCAAAAUUACUAUUUAAAAAGUGGAAUAAAGAAGCAGGCAGGUGAAAUGUAACAAUAAAAAGUUGCAAUGUUGACUGUUUUUUUUGCUCUAGAACGGUCAUUGCUAAAAAAUACAAAUAAA